UAAUUAUUCUUACUUUGGUUCAUGGGCUGUCAAUGUUGUUGAUCUUUUCUGACAAACAACUCUUCGUGUGGUUGAUAUGUUUCUAUUUUUCUGUACUCUAUUUGGUUCAUUUCAAUUUUCUCUUUCAAUAUCCAUCGUUACGCUAAUUUUGUGUUCAUGUGACCCUCUUACUGAUUAUUAGAGAUACAGGAAACUGAUUUGUUCUUCACCAUGACCAUACCAUAGAAUUAUCGAUUAGACUAUGUGCUCAAUACAUUCUGUGGCAUUUUAUGUGUCCAUGGAGAAAUGAAGUCCUGAUGAUUCCGUGUCAGCCAUCUUUCGGACAUUGUCUGAUUGACUAGAUAUUUCUAUAUUAGAAGUCAUCAGUAUAUUCUGAAUAUAAUAAGUGCAGUGAUUUUACUUUUAUUUGGUAUCUUUCAGCUGUAUCUUCACAUGACACCCAGAGUUUCCUGCUAAAGCUGAGCAUAGAAGAUUCUUUCCAAAAAGUAUCAAUGCACAGAUACAAACA